GGUUGCGAUCAUACCAGCACCAAUGCACCGGAUCCCAUCAGAACUACGCAGUUAAGCGUGCUUGGGCGAGAGUAGUACUAGGAUGGGUGACCCCCUGGGAAGUCCUCGUGUUGCAACCCC
rnacentral:rRNA from 1 species